AACGAACGCUGGCGGCAUGCCUAACACAUGCAAGUCGAACGCCUAUAGCAAUAUAGGAGUGGCGCACGGGUGAGUAACGCGUGGGAACCUGCCCCGAGGUGGGGGAUAACCGAUGGAAACGUCGGCUAAUACCGCAUACGUCCUAAGGGAGAAAGAUUUAUCGCCUUGGGAGGGGCCCGCGUCGGAUUAGCUAGUUGGUGGGGUAACGGCCUACCAAGGCGAUGAUCCGUAGCUGGUCUGAGAGGAUGAUCAGCCACACUGGGACUGAGACACGGCCCAGACUCCUACGGGAGGCAGCAGUGGGGAAUAUUGGACAAUGGGCGCAAGCCUGAUCCAGCAAUGCCGCGUGAGUGAUGAAGGCCUUAGGGUUGUAAAGCUCUUUUCGGCGGGGGACGAUGAUGACGGUACCCGCAGAAGAAGCCCCGGCUAACUUCGUGCCAGCCGCCGCCGUAAU
rnacentral:rRNA from 1 species